rnacentral:tRNA from 1 species
UGGGGCGUAGCCAAGCGGUAAGGCAGCGGGUUUUGGUCUCGCGAUCCCAGGUUCGAAUCCUGGCGCCCCAGCCA